AUUGAACGCUGGCGGCAGGCCUAACACAUGCAAGUCGAACGAGUGGCGGACGGGUGAGCAAUGUCUGGGCAACUGCCUGAUGGCGGGGGAUAACUACUGGAAACGGUAGCUAAUACCGCAUACCAUCAGAUGUGCCCAGAUGGGUGUAGCUUGUUGGUGGGGUAACGGCUCACCAAGGAGACGAUCCCUAGCUGGUCUGAGCGGAUGAUCAGUCACAAUGGAACUGAGACACGGGCCAGACUCCUACGUGAGGCAGCAGUGGGGAAUAGUGGACAAUGGGCGAAAGCCUGAUCCAGCCAUGCCGCGUGUGUGAAGAAGGUCUUCGGAUUGUAAAGCACUUUUAGUUGGGAGGCGUUACCAACAGAAUAAGCACCGGCUAACUUCGUGCCAGCAGCCGCGGUAAUUC
rnacentral:rRNA from 1 species